CUCAAAGGAAUUGACGGAAGGCCCGCACAAGCGGUGGAGCAUGUGGUUUAAUUCGAAGCAACGCGAAGAACCUUACCUACUCUUGACAUCCAGAGAACUUUCCAGAGAUGGAUUGGUGCCUUCGGGAACUCUGAGACAGGUGCUGCAUGGCUGUCGUCAGCUCGUGUUGCGAAAUGUUGGGUUAAGUCCCGUAACGAGCGCAACCCCUAUCCAUAUUUGCCAGCACUUCGGGUGGGAACUCUAAGGAGACUGCCGGUGACAAACCGGAGGAAGGUGGGGAUGACGUCGAGUCAUCAUGGCCCUUACGAGUAGGGCUACACACGUGCUACAAUGGCCGGUACAGAGGGCUGCAAACUCGCGAGGGUAAGCUAAUCUCACAAAACCGGUCGUAGUCCGGAUUGGAGUCUGCAACUCGACUCCAUGAAGUCGGAAUCGCUAGUAAUCGUGAAUCAGAAUGUCACGGUGAAUACGUUCCCGCCCUUUGUACACACCGCCCG
rnacentral:rRNA from 1 species